CCAAGGAGUCUGAGACGUGCGCGAGUCACUGGGCUUUUACGAACCCCAAAGGCGCAACGAAAGUGAAAGGCCCGAUCCUCGCGCUGUCUGAAAGCCGGGGCGCAGGGCCGACCUGCCCGUUCUCUGUGGGUGGAGUUUGAGCGCACGUCUCGGGACCCGAAAGAUGGUGAUCUAUGCCUGAGGUGGAUGAAGCCAGAGGAAACUCUGGUGGAGGUCCUAAGCGAUUCUGACGUGCAAAUCGAUCGUGUCACUUGGGCAUAGGGGCGAAAGACCAAUCGAACCAUCUAGUAGCUGGUUCCCUCCGAAGUUUCCCUCAGGAUAGCUGGCGCUCGCCAUACGCAGUUUCAUCCGGUAAAGCGAAUGAUUAGAGGUCAUGGGGACGAAACGUCCUCGUCCUAUUCUCAAACUAUAAAUCGGGUGAGAUCCCCGGCCUCUCCCUUGGCAACGGGGAGCCGGGUGUAGAAUGCGAGUGCUUAGUGGGCCAUUUUUG
rnacentral:rRNA from 1 species